UACGUAGGGGGCGAGCGUUGUCCGGAAUGACUGGGCGUAAAGGGCGUGUAGGCGGUCUGAUAAGUCUGGAGUGAAAGUCCUGUUUUUAAGGUGGGAAUUGCUUUGGAUACUGUCGGACUUGAGUGCGGAAGAGGUAAGUGGAAUUCCCAGUGUAGCGGUGAAAUGCGUAGAGAUUGGGAGGAACACCAGUGGCGAAGGCGACUUACUGGGCCGUAACUGACGCUGAGGCGCGAAAGCGUGGGGAGCGAACAGG
rnacentral:rRNA from 1 species